rnacentral:tRNA from 1 species
GCUUCCAUAGUGUAGUGGUUAUCACGUCGGUUUUACACGCUGAAGGCCCUCAGUUCGAUCCUGGGUGGAAACA